AUAAGGGCGCACGGUGGAUGCCUUGGCACUAGGAGCCGAUGAAGGACGGGACUAACACCGAUAUGCUUUGGGGAGCUGUACGUAAGCUAUGAUCCAGAGAUUUCCGAAUGGGGGAACCCAGCAUCUUUUAUAGGAUGUUACGUUUGCGUGAAUACAUAGCGCAUUCGAGGUAGACGCAGAGAACUGAAACAUCUAAGUACCUGCAGGAAGAGAAAGAAAAUUCGAUUCCCUGAGUAGCGGCGAGCGAAACGGGAAAAGCCCAAACCAAUGAGCUUGCUCAUUGGGGUUGUAGGACUCCAAUAUGGUAGUUCUUUCAGAUAGUCGAAUGACUUGGAAAAGUCAGUCAAAGAGGGUAAAAACCCCGUAGAUGAAAUUUGGAAGGCACCUAGGAGGAUCCUGAGUACGGCGGAACACGAGGAAUUCCGUCGGAAUCCGGGAGGACCAUCUCCCAAGGCUAAAUACUCCCUAGUGACCGAUAGUGAACCAGUACCGUGAGGGAAAGGUGAAAAGCACCCCGGAAGGGGAGUGAAAUAGAACCUGAAACCGUGUGCCUACAACAAGUCAAAGCCCGUUAAUGGGUGAUGGCGUGCCUUUUGUAGAAUGAACCGGCGAGUUACGAUUGCAUGCGAGGUUAAGUUGAAGAGACGGAGCCGCAGCGAAAGCGAGUCUGAAUAGGGCGUUUGAGUAUGUAGUCGUAGACCCGAAACCAUGUGAUCUACCCAUGUCCAGGUUGAAGGUGCGGUAAAACGCACUGGAGGACCGAACCCACGUACGUUGAAAAGUGCGGGGAUGAGGUGUGGGUAGCGGAGAAAUUCCAAACGAACUUGGAGAUAGCUGGUUCUCUCCGAAAUAGCUUUAGGGCUAGCCUCGGAAUUGAGAAUGAUGGAGGUAGAGCACUGUUUGGACUAGGGGCCCAUCUCGGGUUACCGAAUUCAGAUAAACUCCGAAUGCCAUUCAUUCAUAUCCGGGAGUCAGACUGUGAGUGAUAAGAUCCAUAGUCGAAAGGGAAACAGCCCAGACCACCAGCUAAGGUCCCAAAAUAUAUGUUAAGUGGAAAAGGAUGUGGGGUUGCACAGACAACUAGGAUGUUGGCUUAGAAGCAGCCACCAUUUAAAGAGUGCGUAAUAGCUCACUAGUCGAGUGACCCUGCGCCGAAAAUGUACCGGGGCUAAACAUAUUACCGAAGCUGUGGAGUACACCUUUAGGUGUAUUGGUAGGAGA
rnacentral:rRNA from 1 species